UGUUUGAGGGUUAAGUAUUAUUAUGAGUUACAUUUUUAUGAGCACAAAAGGCAUCCAUGAUGUGAUAAAUUUACUGUAAUCAUUAAUAAUGGUUGUUAUGAUAAUUAUUGUUCUAUUCUAACUAGAUUGAAAAAAUGGCCCCAUUAUUUUCCAUUGCAGUGAUCAAUUAGGGUGUACUUAAAUGAUCAUCUUAAGCAUUAUUGAGAUUUUAAUUUGGAUUUUUUUCAUAAAUAUCUUUAUAAAUAUCGAAUUUUGCAUGAAUACUCUUUCAAAAUUGAUAUUUGUAUGUAUACCAUCGUCUAACACUUGUUUUGCUAUUCUAACUUUUUUUUAUCCUUAUUUUUGUAUAUAUACCUACGCCAUUUAACGUCAUUAAAAAAUUAACGGUUUCAAAUUAAAAUAACUAAAAUAUUCUUAAUGAAUAGAUGUGCAAAAAGAAACAUUUAUAAAGCGAUCAUGAUGGAGGACAAAAAAAUAAUUUCAAAAUUAUAUUUUAUUUUUAAUUAAAAUAAAUAUGGUUUUUUAUUAAUGGUGUUGAAGAAGCAUUAUGUUAGGAGCAUUUGUGCAAAAAUAGUAUUUUAUGAGGUAAAAAAUAAAUAUAAAUUUUUAAAAAAUAUUUAUAUAAAUUUGAAUUUUUAGAAGGAUAUACAUGCCAAAAAAAACUAUUUAAUUUUUAUUUGAGUGGCCCGUUAUUUAGACCUUGAUCUAAUCUCAAUCUUAUGAUCACAGAAUUGGCCUUGGCAGGCUACAAAUCCCACUUUAACACGAGCAAUGCUAAGAAAAUAUCACUCAGGGUGUCUUGCACCAGUCACUUUGCUUCAUUUAGUGGCAUAUUUCACGAUACCAAUUUAAAAGGAGGAACGAGAAUACACCACAUCAGUGACUAUUUAGGUGACAUUUUUGAGCUACUAAAGCAUUUUUGUUAACAUAAUAGUAAUGCUCAUGCAACAGAGUAUAUAGAUAUACAGAGAGUGUAAAUGGCUAAGCUUUUGUUACUCCAAAAUAUCAAAGUUGAGCUUUUUACCCUGAUACCCUAUCCAGUCUAGGUCAGUGCAACGUCUUUGGCAAGUUUUAAAAAGCCAUAUCAAGUUCAAUCUAUGGUUUGCUUUGGCUUAUCUCCAUAUUGUGGUUUAGGAGUGUGUUUUAAAAAUUGCUAUGAAUUUAGAUUUCUUUUAGCUGUUCGACUCUUUCAAAUUUAAUCUUGCGUUCGUUCGUGUUGGAGCUACAAAUUACCAGGUAACCUCACAUUCGAGUUAUGUAUAUUUCCAUAGUUAAGUAUAUUUGUUACUCAUUCUAAGAACAUGCUCAUACCUAUGCCACUAGGUUAAACCAGAAUCACCUUUGUUAGAUCAUAUUCUCAUAUGGUUAACCUCAACCGACCCAUGACCGAUGUCGAUCAACAAUGAAAUAAGGUUAUGGAUGAUCAAUGGCCAUCUCUUUUGUCGCUCAGAAACUCGAUAAAUUCAGUUAUUAGAAACUCAUUUCCCUGGAGCUUGGUUGAUGAGUGUUCAAGGGGAGUUCUAUAAGAUUAGUCAUAAAACAAAAGUGACAAAAUUGGCAUAGCCAUAUGCAACUUAUUGUUGAAAAUGGUCAAGCAUAGCUUAAUCUUCUAUCUUCACUCACCUUUGAUGUAUUUUCAAUAUAUUAAGGAUUUGUUUGGAUGUUCCUAUAGAAAUAUCUUGCAGGGCGAGGGCUCGUUGGCUCCCCCCGAGUGCAUCGGACCGGGUCAGGGCAAAUUAUUAAGCCCAAUUCUGUAAGGCCCUCAUCCCAAGCAAACAGGAAGACAAAAAGACCCACAGGAUAGCAGGCUUUAUAUGGGCCCUGUGCAAGUGAGCUGCCCAAUCUAUGAAUUCAACAAGAAAUCCAACCUAAUCCUACCGGAUUACCCAAAAACCUUCAUCUGCCAAUCCCUUAUUCUGUGAAGAAUCUGCCAGCCCCAUCUUUAAUCCACAAAACCUUGUCUGAAGUCCCACCUCUGCAAUAUAUUAUACAUCAGGUUCUGUUUGUAUACUGAUGAAUUGGAGAUAAGAAAUGAAAAUGGAGGCUCGAAAAUGUGCAAUUUGUCAUUCUAGGCAUGACUGAUCCUAAUAUCACUUUCGUACCCUAAUACUUCAUGUCCAAUAAAACCAUUACCAAUCAUACAUACAGAUUAAUAUCAAUAAAAAUUCUUAAUUAAAUUCUUUGCAGCACUAGUGCUGCAUCUAGUCAUAUAUAUGAAGCAAAUGCUUUGAUGCAGACUCGUAGUCAUCAUGAACAACAAAAUGACCUGGGUGCGAUUUUGAGUUUUCUAACAAAUCAAGCUUCUAAAAGAAGUUCUAUUCAAGUGUUUAGGCACUUCAUCAGUGAACAUGAACUUGAACUUCAACUUUCAAAAAGAACAAAGAAAUGUUGGAGUAUGACAAACUUCAGAGACUAAAGAGAUAUGUAACACAUCUUGAAAAAAAGAGUCAAUGAUGAGCCCUUCUCUUGUGCAUUCUCCAAAGAAAUAUUAUAUUUUCUAAACAAGGUUUGGUUACAACAUAUGAUAACUAAGACAUAAUAUAUGUACAAGAUGUAAAAUGUUGAGCCAGAAAGUUGGAUGUUUUAGUGAAAAAAACUCAGAUAAUGACAUGAAAGAAAGAGCUUAUAUAUUACAAAACAAGAAGCGUAGUACCUUCUUUGUCAGAUUAUAGCUGUAAUCAUACAUGCAAAUGGAAGGUGCAGCUCCAUACUUACGGUGUGAAGGCAGGAUUCCACUAUGUAAGCAUUAAAGCUCUGUUAUCAAAACCUGGAGGGCUUACAUGGAUCCAAACAUACAGCUGAAUAUAAUGAUGAUAAUAAAUGUUGUGCUAGGAAAUUCUGGACAAAGUCCUAUGUUAAAGAUGAGCUUGCAUGAUGAAACAGUAAAGAACUGGAUAAUAGACAAGGCAAACAUUACUAUAUCCUACAGCAGCAUGAACAAGAAAUUUUGUUUAGCAUCUAGCUCACUCCUUAUAUACGUACAUGUGCAACCAUUACCUUACAUGCCUCCUCAACAAUUACCUUAUAGACAGGUCAUUCAACCUUAUGAAAUAACACAUCGAACCCUUAUACUGAUCAGUUUCUUGGACAGUAUUACAAUUAGGUUGUUUACUCGUGAGACUGCAAAUUGCCUUGAGAUAUAACAAUUUAAGUACUUUUCAUGCUCAUGGCUGUUCCCUCUUUUAUGCCUAUGAUGGGUUUAUGUAACAACUGGGUACCUAUUCUGCAAUACCACCAAGUAGGAGAUAGCCAGCUCCAGAGGGGUUCAUGCAAUCUUGCUUUCAGAAGCAUAAAUAAAGCUCCAAACCCACUAAUGAUGAAAUAACAACAAUUUCUUGAGCCUCAUAAGAGACUGAUGAGUAGACUAAUCAACACCUCUCUUCUUGAAAUAGAUAAAAAUCAGCUUCAAUUACUCUGAGAACCUUCAUUCAAUAUAACCCAAAACCCUAGGCUAAUGAGGAAAUAAAAUAUGGACCCCCCUUUUUUGGAGAACAAUAUGGACCUUUCCAUGAAACUGAAAAAUAGGCAGAAGGCAUGCACUAAUCAAACAGCUUGAAACAGCAACUUUGGUCAUAAGCCUAGCUAUCCUGAAUUUACACCAUUUUUCAUUUUUGUUGCUUCUUCUAAGUCUUUUAUUCUUGCAACAUUAUUAUUAAAUUCUUCAGCACUCUUGCAGUUUUCCGACAUUUGAGAGACCAUGCGAGAGAUGGCUCUUUUUUUGAAGGGACAUUUGAGAGAUGUCUAGGUCCUGAGAUCUGGUACAUUUGAUCCCAUGGUUUGCAGCCUAUCUCUCAAUCAAGAAUAUCAAGUACCUUUCACGGUUCUUCGCAUUGUGUACUCCAAGUAAUUUCAACCAUAUAGAUCUCCAUACUUUAAAAUCUUUCAGUCGACUGCCUGAGUAACAGAACAGCCCGAACAAACUUUCUUACAAAUGUCAAACUAAAUCAUGCAAGCAUUUCUCACUUGCCUUGGACUUUUCUUAAACCACAUAUUUAGUUGAGAUUUUGAUCAAAAAAACAUCUAGUGGACAUCAGCAUAUGAUAGCGGAACUAUGGACGCCUGGUAUAGUAUCAGCACUCACACAAAAGAAUGCAAAAAAAUCCUUAUAGAGGGCAAUGCGAUACAGCCCUUAAGGGAGAAGGAUGAUAAGUGAGUAGUUGUCUGAAGCAUUAUUCAUGAAAUCUUUAAGAGGAUUUUCUCUUUAUUUUCGUUAUCCAACCAUAUUAAAGCAACUCAAAUUUUCUCAGAAAGAGAAUUAUCCUCCUCUUAGCACUACACUACCUCUCAAAAGCCAGCAUCUGUCCAUUUUGCACAGGUAGCAACAUGCACUUCAUCAUAUUGAAAUAUGACAUCACAAAUACAUAUAACUGUUAAUUGAUGAUCUGAUAAUUCCUCUUCUUGAAAAUAUGCAAAAUCAAAAGCAUGAUUAUAAUAUAAGUAAAUAAAUAAAAAAAGGUAGCCCAAUGCACAAGGUUCCUACAAUUGCAGGACCUGGGAAAGCUUGGAUAUGUGCAGACUUACCCCUGCAUACGAAAAGGCUACUUUUAUGUAUCGAACCCAUAACCUCCAAAUCACAAUUGAGCAACCUUACCGUUGCGCCAAGGCUUACCCUCUUAAUAUAACUAAAUAAAUAACUCGCGAUGACAUUUAAUCUAUUGAUGUAUCAAGGAAAAUACAUAUUUUAUUUUGUGUGAUAAAUAGCUGAAAUUCUAUUUAGAUAACAAAAAAUAUCCCUUGCACACACUUUAAAAAUAUGUGAAAUUCUCAUACUCCUGAUAACUUUGAGCUAUGCAAGAGAACAGCCUUGCUUCUGAUGCUUAAGCAACUCAAAUAGUUUAGCUCUCAUUAAUGCAAUUGGUUAACUUAAUCUGAUGCCAUUUUUUCACAAAGUGGAAUUGUAAGUAGGUUGUUGGCAGAAGCAACUUUAGCAUAAUGCCAUAAUCAACGGAAAAGUUACUUCAAUGAUGAGAUGAAUUGUUUUAGUAUUAUAAUUAACCAGCCAUCAAGCUAAGUUAGAAGCACAGAGUUCUGAAAGAUUGCAAGAAGCAGUACCUGACUACUCUAGGAACAUUUACAUACAUUACAUAAAAGGACUAACAACAGUACAGUCCGAGAAUUUCCAAGUUCACAGAAAUUCUAACUAUUAUAACCACUCCUACACUAACUACAAAGCAGAAUGAUUUACAAAGUACAUCAGGAAAAGAUCCUUAAAGAAGGUUAGAGAUAUUUCUACAAUUACCUGACCUUGUUGAAAGAUGAGGAUCAUUAGGUGGGAGUCAAGAAGUUUAAGCAGAUAACAGGUGCCUCAAUUGAUGUAAAUGUUCUUCAUUUGAAAUAUGAAGAGAGAGACGAAGAUUUGUUAAAAGUGAUUCCUGCUCCCAGCUUAAAGGACCCAAAGCAUAAAAAGCCUUCACAGUAGAUUGGUAUGCAUGUAGUUCUAAUUCAUGGAUGUUGGCAGCUAAUUCAUCUUCAGAAACACAUCGGUACUUUUUCUCAGCCUCAGAUGGACAUGAAGACAUGGCAUCAUCAAAAAAGCUACUGGCAAUAUCUCUAGGAUAUUUUCUCGUAUUCUCAUUAGUAUAUUCUGGUAAGUUGUUACCACUACAACUAGCAACGGAGCAUGCAUUAUUCUCUUCAAUAAUUUGCAAAGGUAUGGAAGAUGGAUGCAUAGCAUGAUUAUUGGUCUCCUUACUAACAACCAUCUCAGAAAUUUUAAUUAUUCUGCCUUUAGUGGAUAAAUGCUGGCAAUUCUCAUCCAUCAUAUCUUUUGAUAAAGGAACAGCAUCUACCUUUCUAGGCAGUGGUCUUGUAGUUAGCUGAUAAGAUCCAUCCACUUUUGGGUUUGCUUUCCUUUUCCUUCCUGUACCUUGAACCACAACAUCUGGUAAUAAGAUACAGUGGGAAUUGAGAUUCUUCUUUCCAGUUCUUGCAGGAGAAAAAGAGCGAAAAUGAUCAUCUUCUUGCUCAUAUCUCUGUCCAGCGCAAGCAUCUUCAGAUAUACCUCCAUGUGCUUCACAACCUAAGUCUAUGUUAUAUUUGGAGCUAGAACAGUUGUAGCCAUUGAUAAAUUGCUUCUUUCCACUAACCUGAAACCCAGAACACAAUUAACCAGAUAAAUUAGAAUAACAAUUGAUAAUUUCUUUGUGCAUAACAGUUGCAAAAUGGAAGCAAUAGAAGGACUGGCUGUUUCCAGGUCAUGCUUACAAUCUUCAGAAAUCAAUUUCCAUUACUCUUUUCCAUCCAAUGAUAAAUAACUACUGAGGGAUACAUUAUGAAAUUAAAAAGGAGCAAAUUCAAAUUCCUUUUGAAUUUACCAGAUCAGUAAACAAAACCAUUAAUCCUACAGGAUAAUAAAGUAAACAAAAGGAAUAUUCUUACCACAAGAAAAAAUUGAACUUAAAGAUUUAUUUGCAGCCACCAGAAUCUGAAUGCAAGAGGUGACUGAAAUAUUUUUUGAGACAGUAGUAAACAUCAUUAAGAAUACAAUUAUCAAAAAGGGUAUGGUCAUAACCAUUAUAAGCAUAAGACAUAGGUAAUGUCUACUGCCAAAUGAUAUUUGAUAAGAAUAAUUAUAAGCAUACAGGGCAAAAAGGUAUUCAGUUGAAAAUCACAGGAGCCACAGUGACUAAACUAAGUUUGAUGUUAAUAGCACAGACUAGCUGUUGACUAAUUAAUAGCUUCAGUAUUGUCACAUUCUAGACUACUUUUAGAAUUGCUUUGCAUCGCAUUAUUUUUGUGUCACAAGCAGAAAAUUUUAUCUUAAAGAUGGCUUCAAAGCACAUGAUAUUCAAUAUAUGCUGUUGACAUUUUAUGAAAUAUGCAAUCUGGAGUUUCCCUACGGAUAGUUACAUUGACGUCUUGCAUGUUAAAUAAGAUUAUAUACAUGGAAUAUUUUGUAUAUACCAUAUUAAGUCCUGAUAUUUGAAUUGUAAACUCUAAGAUUUAAAUGGCACUAUUACAACUCUUCAUUCACCAAGAGAUUCAGCUAUAUUGAGUGGGACUGAUCCCAACCUGGCCAAUGUCAGACAAAAGGCAGAUAGUUCAAAAUAGGCUAAAUUAGAGUUCAUAUAACUCAAAUCAUUUCCUAAGUUUGGACUGGAAAAAUUUAGACUCAUCUCCUCUCAACAUCAGGUUUGGGUCUCAACCAUGCCCAUCUCCAAUAUAUUAUUGUUAGCAUCUUUUGCAUCAGCCUUAGAGGAUGUAUUUCUUUUUCUGGAUCGAAUGUCUCUUAUAUGCAGUCCUACGCAACAAGAAUUUACCCUGGACAAAGAAAGUAAAUGAGAAGUGGGAACCAGAACUGGUCAGUGUCUUCCAUCCACCAAGCAUCAUUAAUAGAAUGCCAGAACUAGGGUGUAAACACAUGGGUCCGCUAAUUAGACUUUGUUUACUGGACUCUGAAGAUCCCAUUAUUAUGUCAGUAAAACCAUCUGAAGGAUUUAGCAUCAAGCUGUUCGUGUAUACAUGAUUACAUGUCCAAGUCCAACCAUGUUCUUUAUUUUUAUCAAUUGCUACCGCAUGGAAGCUGAAAAUAAAAGAUUUAUGUCAUCAAAUAUGUAAGAGCUUCAUGUGCUUAUGUGAAAUUUCUGAGCAGGAACUAGGUACAUAAAGGUCACAUAAUAAUAUGAAAUGUUUAAGAUACUUAAGAGGUUAUAUUGCUCUGGGUUCGAAAAUGAACUUCCUGCCAUAUAAUGACUUUUAAAACACAGGAUAGGUGACAAGCUUAUAAACAAAUGCUGCUUACUGCAUGCCAUGUUAAAUUCCUAGCAACAUAUACAUUACCAUUGAGGCAUUGACCUUAAGCUUAAUGGCUAUGAUAGAGCGCAUUACACAGUAGUAGAACAGCGUCAAAGAAACUCAUACAAAAGCAAAAGGUAGAGAAGCAAUGCAGUCCAAAUGUAGCAUGGUAUGCAGUUGUUGCAAAUAUCUGCUAAACCCAAAAAUGCCAAUGUGUAGAACACAAGAAAGCAAAGUCAUGAUGGUCUGACAAAGACAGAGAUCAUGAGCUAGAUGUGUAGUACAAGUUCUUUUUUUGUGACAAAUUUGGGACUACACACUAACAAGUAAAAAGUAAAACACAAAAUUGCCUUUCAAAAUCCAUGAGAAUUAAUGGACUUUGAAGAAAUACCCUAUAAAUCAUGCUUCUGAAUACAGCUUUUAAGGAUCAGCAACACAUAAUAGCAAGCAAUCACCAAACAUGAUGAAUCAGAAGUAGCUUUAUUCAGAACACAAAAUUAUGAAAUUAAAUAAAUGGAAAAGUGAUACAAUUUUUACCAUAAACAGUUCCCCUAAAUCAUAAAAUGUAAGAACAAUAUUUAAUCACAAAAUCACAACAAAAGGGUCAGAAUGAUAGAAUGGAUAGCAGAUAACAGAUGGGUGAAAGGAGAUUUCAAGAAUAGUGGAAAUUGGUCCUCUACCUUUCCAAUCACGACCCACUGAUUGUUAUGCCAAGCUUGUCGAACCCUUAGACUAGAGACAUGAAAUUCUCUAAGCUGGAUUGAGCCAAAGAGUCUGAUGACAACAUUAUUGCUGUUCAGAACUUUUGCAACCUUUCCAACCCUCCAUGAAUGGAGGUCGAACACCUCGGCUACAUCACCAACAAUCCAUCUCUCCUUUCCAUGAACAGGAGGUGGACAAGGCCUAACAUCUUCCUUGUGCACACUUUCUACUACUGGCUUUCCUUUGGCUGUCAGAAAUAGGUCAUAUCUGACGCUGUAUUUAUCUCCAUGUAUUGAAGAAAUUUUAGCAGGAAUCCAAGAGCAAUAACGAUCCUCAUUUCUUCUCAUAACCUCCACCUUGUUCCCUUCUCUGAACCCCAUCCUUAUAAUAUACUGUUAGCCUAACCCUACACAAUCCACAUGAACUAAUAAAAGCAGUGUAACUCUGUAGAAAGUAAUUAUGCUCAAAAUUGUUAUUAGUAUUACUAAACCAUAGAUCCAGCAAUAGAUGGACUUAACAGAAACGGAGAAGCAACAAAGUCAACAGUUCAAGUUGAUACCUGAACAAAACCAGCUGCAUGCAUUAGAAGAAACCCAAACCCAAAGUCUUCAGAUCUUGUGAUCAAAGAGAAUUCCUGUCAUCCUGAUGAGCAGUUUGUAUACGUAUCAGCUUUUACCCUUUAUUUCCUUCUGUUCAGAAACUAAAUAUAUAGAAUUGGCAAGAAGGUUGAUUGCUGAUCUAAACAAAACAAAAUCAAUUGAUACACUGAGACUUCUUUCCCCUGAACAGAAAGAAACCUUUUUAACAAUGAACCAAAUAUUAGAAAUUUCUAUAAAAAAAGGGCAUACUCAGAAAGCUGAAAUCAAAGCAAGUACAAAGCUGGAAUGCAAAACAGAACUGGAAUUAAAAAUAGUCAAAGUGACGCAUCAACACCAAAUAGUACAAAUCCCAAAGACCAUUCUCCAAAACAUCAACUAGAAACCAAUGAGAGAAGAAAUUGGGUAUUAGCCCACCAACCAAUUUCCAUAUAAUAGAGUUAAACUACUAAAGUAUAUACUGAUCCAAAAUUAAAAAAAAAGGAAAAGAAAAAGAAAACAACAGGACAUUAAAACAAAACGAACCCUUGACUCGAACUAAUAAGAACCAUUCGGCCAAAAAAGAGGGAUCUUUUGGAGCUUCUAACACAACCCAUAACAUUCUUGAUCGAAACAUCGCAAGAAUCACCUAAAAACAAAGACUUUUCACCAAAACAAUACAUAAAGAUCAAAGAUUUGGACUAAAGAACAAUAAGAACAGCUCGAUUUCAGGCAAGAAACGCAAAAAAAAUAAAAAAACAAUCUUUGACCAUCCAAAUUGCUUGAAAACAAAAACAGAACACGGGAAGAAUGCAAGAAACCAAUUGGGGACUGACCUGGGGCGGAUUGGCAGACUGGAUUGGCGGUCCGGAGCCGAUCCCGACGCUUAAUUUCGGUGCCGGGACAGCACAAAACAGGAAAACGGCGUGUUGGUUAGCUCCGGAUAUCGGCUGGUAUUGGGAACAACUUGUGAAAAAUAAAUACAAAUUAAAAAACGGGAAUUUCUUUCUCUUUUUUUUGCUUUUAAAUAUCCAUCGUCGCAUAAUUAGCUUCCCAGCUUUUUUAGAACACAAAAACCGCCAUCUUUUUUAUUUUCCUAAUUUUAUCCAAUAUAAUUUUAUAUAAAGCAUAAUAUACUUAAAUUAGUUGCGCCACCACGGAAAUACCUAAAAAAAGGAGUCGACAAGAGAUAGACACAGCGGGGUUUUGUUGGGUAGCGGGAUCACGAUCAACAAACUGGCAGGGCCCAUGGCUUGACAAUGGCUGAUAACAACAAUGACUUCUAUAUAUUUAUCUUUUUUUUUUACUGCAGAGAAAUCUAUGCAGGUAAAAAUACUGUAGAGAGAUCUAAAAAAAGAUAUAGCUGGUGGGGUGGCUGAGAUCAGCUUAGGGUGCGAGGAUAGCCGUGAAUGGAUAAAACUUGUAUUAUUGACCAGAUUUUUGAAGAAAUCCCACAUCUUUCAUGCAACAUGAAGAGACUUUACUUGUAACGAUAGCUCUCACCUUGGAUAACAUUUUUGGUUAAAUUUCUGUGAUUUAGAUUUUAUACAAUAUCUCUCUUGGUGAUGGAUUGGGACGUGCUUCAGCCUGGAUUAUGCGCUCAGGAAAACAAGCGCAAAGAUGGAAAAUCAUUUGAUUUGCUACUAACAGGAUAGUAUGGGUCGUGACUGACAUUUGAAUCCCAUGUCCCUGGGAUAUUUUGUACCUUAUAAACAAAUGAUUAUAUAUUUAUCUAACAAAUCCUUCUCUUUUUUUUUGGUGGUACGAGGACGGGAUUAUCAACAACUACCUAAUAGUUAAAUUUAUUGUCAAAUUAAUGCUUGCACACUCACUGUCUCUCGGAGUACUUUUUGUUUUCCUCAGUAAAAAAAAACAUCAGAGCCUCCAGCCGACAGGAGUGCCUUUUUUUUUAAUAAAAGGAGGAUUGCACAAAGGUAGAACCAAACCCUGGAAGCUUGCCUAACGUGGUAAGACGGACCUUCCAGCUUUCACUUCGGGUUUUCAUGAGUGUUUUCCCCGUAUUGAGAGUCCAUAACACGCAUUAUGUUUCUUAUGGAGAGGGGGGAUUCAGAGCGUUCGGUAAAAGUUCGUCCAAGUUUUCCUUUCAAGUUGCCUCCCUUACCAAAGCCACAUUAAUCUCAGAGAGUGGUCCACCAUCGGCCACUGAUGAUGGCCCAGAGAAAGCAUCUUAGGAUCCUCAGUGAACGGCACAGAGGAAUCUAUAAUGUGGACAUAAGCAUCCGAAUGAACAACUCCAGAAUGUUACUGCCGUAAUCANNNNNNNNNNNNNNNNNNNNNNNNNNNNNNNNNNNNNNNNNNNNNNNNNNNNNUCAAUUGUAACCAUGUCCAGCUUCAGGAAACUACAUGUAGAAGUCACAUUCAUAUUCCUGUAUCCUGCUUCACUUCAAUCCUGUAUUCUGUACACGUAUUCUUUUUUUCACUGAAUAUGAUUAUCCCAGAUACGUCAUGACAUGGAAUUAUUUGGACUACAAGUUCAAACCAGAUUACAUAAAUCAGGAUCUCAUAAGUAACAUUCAGCAAAUUAAAAUUCAUUUAUCAACAGAUUUUUAUCUUCCAUUCGAACUCAUUUCCAUAAUUCUUUUAGUUUCUUUAACAGGUGCAAUUACUAUGGCCCAUUAACAAUAAAUACAAAGAAUUAAAUUCCAAAAUUUAAAAUUUUUUAAUAAAUAAAAUCAAUGGAAAUGUUUAAAAUUUUUAUAAGGUUUUAAAUUAAAUAUAUCCAUUGCCAAUACCUUCUUUUGUAAUAUAAUCAUUCUAUUGCAGUCAAUUGGAUUGUCUGUAUUAUUGUUCAUAUUGAAAUGAACCUAGAUUGACAAGGAGUUAGUCAGUGAUGUUCAAGCAUGACUAUGGAGCCCUUGCAUAUUUAGCUUCACAUAAAAACAUCUGAGAAAUUCAUCAUUUGAAAAAACAUAAAAAAGAAUUGUUGAAUAUUUCCCCCUCAACAAGUUUCAAGAACAGCAAUCUAUUCUAAAAUCUCACACUUAAAUUUGCUUCAAAAAUGCCACAAAUCACCGAGUAUAUAGACAUUGGAAAUCACUCAACAUAUAUUGUUUUUAACCCAGCCAGACUGUUCAGCAACAAAUACCAUUCGUUCCAUACAAAACUUUUAUUAUUACUGAGGCCUUCGAACCAAAAGGCUUGGCAGUAACAAGUCAAACAUAACCAACCUACCAUUCGCUUUGUCAUUAUAUUGUGUAAGUCAGCAAAACAAGACUUGACCAAAUAGUGUAUAAUUGUUCAAUCAUCGCCUAUGCAAGAAUAAUCGCAAGCACAAAGAGCAUGAAACAUGUGCAAAUAUCAACAACCCAGCAUGGUCAAUGUAUCCAUAUCAAGGAAAGGAACAAAAGAAACGCAUAGCAAUUUCACUAGAGCACUAAAAUCCAGGUGCUAAUAAAAUAGGGUAAUUUUGAUUGCAUUGAUAGAUACAGCUUAAAAGCUUUAGAGACAAAAUGGCUAAGCUGAUCGAAGCUUGUAUCAGAAACUGCCGCAUUCUAUCAGCAAAAAUAUAUAUGUUUGAAGUUCUCAGGGGGGACCGCACCAGAGUAUCCCCAAAUGAUUGCUGCAAGGUUGAAUAGAGAGAGCAUAUAUUCCAGUAUUUCAAUCAAUCUGCAACACAAACAUAAAAUAGGUUCAACAAGGAUCCAGGAAAUAUUCGAUGAAUAUAGAGGAUGAGCCCUACACUAAUCCAAAUGGGUCAGUAGCAUGCAAACAGAACCUACAUCUGGGAUACAGGCUGCUUCCAUAUGGAGGAGCUCCUUGCCUCGUCUGGAGGAACAAAAAUAGAAAAUUGUUGUAUCAAAACAGAUAAAGGACAAACACACAGCAUGAAAUUGGAAGAUUUUAAAAAAGAUGUCCUCACUCAUAAGGACUCUUAGAACCAUGUAUGUGCCAAAAUGUGUAAGCUUGGUAGGUUUUCUCAUCUCUCUUUUUGUGAACAAUACAAAUCAAACAAAUAAAAUUUCCGCAAAAUUUUAAGGUCAAUACCUGAAGGGUGCUUGGGUACUCAGAAGUCCCAUAAAGCGAACCUGAUAAUCCACAAAAGAACAAUAUUUGAUUACAGUAAACAAAUACCAAAAUUAACGAAAAAAACAUCGGCAUAAAUCCAAAACAUACCACUGGCAUACCCAGCAGCCGCAGGACGCUGAUAGUAUGGCAGAGAAGAUCCAGUCGUGCCAGUGCCGGGGGGCGGUGCACCAUAGCUAAAACAGCAGAAGAUUAACUGAGUGUGAAUUGAUGUAACAGAAAGAAAUGAAGGGGAAACAACGUAUCAUCAUGAUUGCAAUUUUCAUGUGAAAUAAGUUUCAGAAAAUUUUAAAAAAGAGACCUUGAGCCAGCAACUGGGAAAGAACCCUCAAGUCGGGCACGAGGAUAGCCUCUCAAAUCCGAAUACACUGCAUCAUCUCCCUGCACAAUCAGGCAUAUUGUUGAGAGCAUGAUGUGAUGAUUUCUUAAGAAAGCAUGUGCUUACAAGCUUUCAGGAAUUACCAUUGCAGAAAAACCACGCUUUCCUCCAGGUAACACAUGUGGAUAUUCUUGGACAGCAGGACCUGGCACUAUAAACCCAAAAGAAACAAAUGAACUCCAAGAAACUUGUUUAUGGGGAUACCAGGAACUUGAAGAAAAAUUACAAACCACUGCCAUGUUCACUGAGUGCUGAAUUAGAAAUCAAUGUUCAUCAAAGAAUCACCAACAUUAUUAACCUAAUGCUGCUCCAUGCUAAACCAGGUCUCAGAUAAGGCCAACAAUUCUGAUACAAUAGGGAAUCCUUCCAAACUAAACAAGGUAGUUACUUUUUAAGGCAAUAAACCCACUAGGCCAAAAAGCAUUAUAAAUGGGAAUUUCUAAUUCAAUGCCAAAUUGCAAAUGAACAGAAAAUGCUAUUGAUAACAAGCAGGUUAGAUUGGGAACCUUCCUCGUGAAAAGCAACAAGCAUUUUGUUCAAAUCCACAAUGAGAGUAAAAAGAGAAAGUCAUUGUAAUACAGAUUAUAAGAAAGAAUAUAGGAUGUGUUACUAAAUUUCCAUAGACACCAUUAAAAACUACAAAAGAAGGAUGCCUUGUGUAUAAUAGAAUGAUCCAACAGAGUGGACAAGCUUUUUAAGUCACCAUUUAUUUUAAACAAGCAUUAAACGAGUUGGUCAACCAACAGCCAUCUGUAAUAUUUCUCAUGGAAGAUCUAAUAGCCAGUAUUUAUAAGUUGAUAAAACAGUUCUGACCGUCCUUUACUAAGGUCAUGGCUGAUCUUAACUCCACCAGAAAUUGACAUAAUUUCUUGUGGCAUUAAGACAAAGAUGAGCUUAACAUUAGCACAGCACCCAUAGUAGAUAAUUUACCAAUUGCCUUUGUUAGUCAUCUAGAAAGAACAUAUGAAAUUAAUCAACCUAAAAACCAAGGUUGUGAAAAUUGAAUUCUGUUUCAGUCUGGGCAAAGCCUGUCAAGUUUUGGUUCCUGUAGGUCAGCAGUUUCAACAGUUCGAGUUUCAGGAUUCUGAAAAAUAUUAGUCAAGAAAAGUUACAGAAAUAAAGGAAAAAUAAGAUAAAGAAAACAAAUCAAGAAAAAAAUAUAUCAUGUAACAUAAUUUUUAGGUAUUGUGUAUUGUCUGUAAUCUUUGGCUAUAUGGCAUCAGUGUCUUCAAGCUGGAAGCAACAAUAAAAAGCCGUAAACUUCUGUAAAUAACAAUAAAAAUGUUAAAAAAAAUCAUGACGCACAUCAAAAAAAACAUAUCAUUUAAUUGUUUCACAACUGCACAAUGAUGUAAAUAACAACUGCUAUAUAGAAAUAUUAUGGAGAGACAGCAAAUUAAGAAUGGAACCUUUGGUUAAUUCAGAACUUAAUAUUAGACCAGAGAUAAAACUACGAAUAAAUUACAUAGAAAUUUAAGAACCUAUCUUUAUCUAAAAUUUGAACUCAUGAAACAAGACACUCCAAAAUUUGCACCGAGUGCCAACAAUUCGGUAGACAAACAGGUCCUUCAAAUACCAAAUUGCAGAAGUGUCACGUUAUGUUGCAUCAUGUCAUAUUCAAGUACCCUAAAAUGUCAGCACUACAGAAAUCCUCCAAAAAAGGAAGGGCUCGCCCAAAAAAAAAAGAAAAAAAGCAUAAUUUUCAAAAAGUGGAUCUAGAAAGUUGAAAAAGAAAACAGCAUGAAAUAAAGUUAUAGAAAAAAAUAUAACAAAUGACAAAUAGAAAGAACAAAAGUAGUUGAAGCAAGAUAAUAUUAAAAAAUAGUGAUCUACAUUUAAGCAUGAAAUAUGCAAUAGUGAAAAUUGAGCACCAGGAGGAAAGGUUGAAGCUUGUUCUUAAGACUGGCAAGAUUACCAAGAGAUCACACUUACAAUUUUACAGAAUUCCUAAAGAGUAGAAACAUAUACUCAAAAAGAAACUCAUGGUUAUCGACCGCUUUUGCACUAUAAGGCUACCCAACUGCCAAAAUUGAGUAUCAUUUUCUAACAUUGGUUUCAACACCAUAAAAUUUCUUCCUAUCAACUGUAAACAACCAGAAUUAGAAACAGGUGGAAACUAAUAAGGCAUGAAACAAGACAUAAGCAUGAUUACUAACAAGCAAAUUAUGACCAAAGUAAAAUGGAGGGUGAAAUUAUUAUACUUGAAAUGGCUCCGCGAAUCAUACAACAAUAGAAGAUCAUCGAGUAAGAUCCCCAUUAAAUGAUAAGGAAAUGGCUUUGUAAA
rnacentral:lncRNA from 1 species